AUUGAACGCUGGCGGCAGGCCUAACACAUGCAAGUCGAACGAGUGGCGGACGGGUGAGUAAUGUCUGGGACACUGCACGAUGGAGGGGGAUAACUACUGGACACGGUAGCUAAUACCGCAUACCAUCGGAUGUGCCCAGAUGGGUUUAGCUAGUAGGUGGGGUAACGGCGCACCUAGGCGACGACCCCUAGCUGGUAUGCGAGGAUGACCAGCCAAACUGGAACUGAGACACGGUCCAGACGCCUACGGGAGGAAGCAGGGGGGAAUAUGGCACAAUGGGCGCAAGCCUGAUGCAGCCAUGCCGCGUGUAUGAAGAAGGCCUUCGGGUUGUAAAGUACUGUCAGCGAGGAGGCGUUACUCGCAGAAGAAGCACCGGCUAACUCCGUGCCAGCAGCCGCGGUAAUAC
rnacentral:rRNA from 1 species